rnacentral:lncRNA from 1 species
CUGGAUUUGGAAUCAGGAUAUCUAGGUUGGAAUUCUGCUUCUGCAAUUUCCCAGCCUUCUGGAAUCUGAGCAAGUCACCUUAACCUCACCAGACCUCAAUUUCCUUGUCUGCAAAUUUAGGAGCCUGGAUGAGGUCCAGCCCCGCUUAGAAGGCCAAUCUUCCCUCUUUGUAAAGGGGUGAAUCGUUCAAACCUGGCCUCAGACACUUCCCAGCUGUGUUAUCCUGGGCAAGUCAUUUAACCCCCAUUGUCUAGCUCUUGCCACUCUUCCGCCUUGGAACCAAUAAGCAGUAUUAGUUCUAAGAUAGAAGGUACUAGUUUAAGAAAAACUUUCAAAGGAAUCAUGGAAUCGUUUUGAACACUUCUAAUGAUGGGGGACUCACUAUCUCCACUCCAAGCUUUGAGACCUGUCAGAAGGUCAGGGUUUUAAAGAAAAAGAAAAAGGGCACGGCACUGAAAUUCAAAACGUACAACAACAUAGACCCUGGGAAUCCUCCUCCUGAACCUGGAUCAAAAGAUGGAGAAACUGAGUCAUGCAUUGGUCUGCAUACAUGAGAUAGAAGAUAACAGAGGGAAGUAAGAAAACCACUGGAUUUGGAGUCCAAGGAACUGUAUUUGAAUGACUUCUACUACUUAAUGCCUGUGUGUCUAGGCAAGUUGGUUCUCUUCUCUGAGCUUCUUCUAUUUCCUCCUGUCCCUAAUAAUGGAGUACUAACAUUCCUCCCAGAA